UUGGAGGGCAAGUCUGGUGCCAGCAGCCGCGGUAAUUCCAGCUCCAAUAGCGUAUAUUAAAGUUGUUGCAGUUAAAAAGCUCGUAGUUGAAUUUCGGGAUCAGUACGCCGGUCGUGCCUCCGGUAUGUACUGGUGUCACUGAUUCCUCCCUUCUGAAGAACCAUCAUGCCAUUCACUUGGUGUGGUGGGGAAUCAGGGCUGUUACUUUGAAAAAAUUAGAGUGUUUAAAGCAGGCUCACGCUUGAAUACAUUAGCAUGGAAUAAUGAAAUAGGACGUUGAUCCUAUUUUGUUGGUUUCUAGGAUUGACGUAAUGAUUAAUAGGGAUAGUUGGGGGCAUUAGUAUUCAAUUGUCAGAGGUGAAAUUCUUGGAUUUAUUGAAGACCAACUACUGCGAAAGCAUUUGCCAAGGAUGUUUUCAUUAAUCAAGAACGAAAGUUAGGGGAUCGAAGACGAUCAGAUACCGUCGUAGUCUUAACCAUAAACUAUGCCGACUAGGGAUCGACGGAAAGUAAACUUUGCCC
rnacentral:rRNA from 1 species